GACGAACGCUGGCGGCGUGCCUAAUACAUGCAAGUCGAGCGGACUUUCAAGAAGCUUGCUUUUUGAAAGUUAGCGGCGGACGGGUGAAUAACACGUGGGCAACCUGCCUGUAAGACGGGGAUAACUCCGGGAAACCGGGGCUAAUACCGGAUAAUAUCUUUCUUCGCAUGAAGGAAGGUUGAAAGGCGGCGCAAGCUGCCGCUUGCAGAUGGGCCCGCGGCGCAUUAGCUAGUUGGUGAGGUAACGGCCCACCAAGGCGACGAUGCGUAGCCGACCGGAGAGGGGGAUCGGCCACACUGGGACUGAGACACGGCCCAGACUCCUACGGGAGGCAGCAGUAGGGAAUCUUCCGCAAGGGACGAAAGUCUGACGGAGCAACGCCGCGUGAGCGAAGAAGGUCUUCGGAUCGUAAAGCUCUGUUGUCAGGGAAGAACAAGUACCGUUCGAAUAGGGCGGUACCUUGACGGUACCUGACCAGAAAGCCACGGCUAACUACGUGCCAGCAGCCGCCGUAA
rnacentral:rRNA from 1 species